AUUGAACGCUGGCGGCAUGCUUUACACAUGCAAGUCGAACGGCAGCGCGGGCUUCGGCCUGGCGGCGAGUGGCGAACGGGUGAGUAAUACAUCGGAACGUGCCCAGUAGUGGGGGAUAGCUCGGCGAAAGCCGGAUUAAUACCGCAUACGACCUGAGGGUGAAAGCGGGGGAUCUUCGGACCUCGCGCUAUUGGAGCGGCCGAUGGCAGAUUAGCUAGUUGGUGGGGUAAAGGCCUACCAAGGCGACGAUCUGUAGCUGGUCUGAGAGGACGACCAGCCACACUGGGACUGAGGCACGGCCCAGACUCCUACGGGAGGCAGCAGUGGGGAAUUUUGGACAAUGGGCGAAAGCCUGAUCCAGCAAUGCCGCGUGUGUGAUGAAGGCCUUCGGGUUGUAAAGCACUUUUGGCGGGAACGAAAAGGACUGUGCCAAUACCACGGUUCGAUGACGGCACCCGCAGAAUAAGCACCGGCUAACUACGUG
rnacentral:rRNA from 1 species